UCGAUUUGGAGUUUGUUGCCUAGAGUGAUGGGCUCCGAAGCUAACGCGAUAAAUCGACCGCCUGGGGAGUACGGCCGCAAGGUUAAAACUCAAAUGAAUUGACGGGGGCCCGCACAAGCGGUGGAGCAUGUGGUUUAAUUCGAUGCAACGCGAAGAACCUUACCUGGUCUUGACAUCCACAGAAUCUUGCAGAGAUGUGAGAGUGCCUUCGGGAACUGUGAGACAGGUGCUGCAUGGCUGUCGUCAGCUCGUGUUGUGAAAUGCUGGGUUAAGUCCCGCAACGAGCGCAACCCUUAUCCUUUGUUGCCAUCGGUUAGGCCGGGAACUCAAAGGAGACUGCCGUUGAUAAAGCGGAGGAAGGUGGGGACGACGUCAAGUCAUCAUGGCCCUUACGACCAGGGCUACACACGUGCUACAAUGGCGUAUACAAAGGGAGGCGACCUCGCGAGAGCAAGCGGACCUCAUAAAGUACGUCUAAGUCCGGAUUGGAGUCUGCAACUCGACUCCAUGAAGUCGGAAUCGCUAGUAAUCGUGAAUCAGAAUGUCACGGUGAAUACGUUCCCGGGCCU
rnacentral:rRNA from 1 species